UACGGGGGGAGCAAGCGUUGUUCGGAUUUACUGGGCGUAAAGGGCGCGUAGGCGGCCACCGCAAGUCGACUGUGAAAUCUCCGGGCUUAACCCGGAAAGGUCAGCCGAUACUGCGGGGCUAGAGUGCAGAAGGGGCAACUGGAAUUCUCGGUGUAGCGGUGAAAUGCGUAGAUAUCGAGAGGAACACCUGCGGCGAAGGCGGGUUGCUGGGCUGACACUGACGCUGAUGCGCGAAAGCUAGGGGAGCGAGCGGG
rnacentral:rRNA from 1 species